rnacentral:rRNA from 1 species
AAGCGCGCUUCGUUCAGUUACACGUAUUGCUCUGGGAGCAUCAGGCGUGUCGAAGGGGUUUUGGUGUAAUAAGAUUGGUUUGCUGGCGGAUCGCGCUUUUCUACAUGCCAGUCGAACGGCAGCACGGACUUCGGUCGGUGGCGAUAGCGAACAGGUGGCGUGUAAUGUAUCGGAACGUGCCCUAGUAGCGGGGAUAACUACGCGAGAAAGCCGUAAUAACCUGCAUGCCGCCGGGAGACGGGGGACCUUCGGGCCUCGCACUAUUAAACGGCCCGAUAUCGGAUUGGCUAGUUGGUGGGGUAACGGCUCACCAAGGGCGACGAUCCGUAGCUGCGUUGAGGAGGACGACCAGCCACACUGGGACUGAGACGGCCCAGACUCUGGGAAGGCAACGAUCGGGGAAUUUUGGACAAUGGGGAAACCCUGAUCAGCCAUCCCGCGUGUGCGAUGAAGACCUUCGGGUUGUAAAGCACUUUGGCAGGAAAGAAACGGCACGGGAUAAUACCCCGUGCAACUGACGGUACCUGCAGAAUAAGCACCGGCUAACUACGUGCCAGCAGCCGCGGUAAUACGUAGGUUGCAAGCGUUAAUCGAAUUACUGGGCGUAAAGCGUGCGCGAGCAGGUUCGGGAAGAAGAUGUGAAAUCCCAGAGCUUAACUUUAGACUGCCAUUUUUAACUACGAGCUAGAGUGUGUCAGAGGAGGUGGAAUUCACGUGUAGCAGUGAAAUGCGUAGAUAUGCGGAGGAACACCGAUAGCGAAGGCAGCCUCCUGGGAUAACACUGACGCUCAUGCACAGCGUGGGAGCAAACGGGAUUAGAUACCCUGGUAGUCCACGCCCUAAACGAUGUCAACUAGCUGUUGGGGCCUUCGGGCCUUGGUAACAUGCGCAUUGAAGUUGACCACCUGGAAGCGGUCGCAAGAUUAAAACUCAAAGGAAUGACAGGGGACCCGCACAAGCGGUGGAUGAUGUGGAUUAAUUGAUGACACGAAAAACCUUACCUACCCUUGACGCUGUCUGAAGAUCCCGAAGAGAUUCCCAGGAGUGCUCGCAAGAGAACCGGAACACAGGUGCUGCAUGGCUGUCGUCAGCUCGUGUCAUGAGAUGUUGGGUUGAUCCGCAACAGCGCAACCCUUGUCAUUGAAUUUGGCUUGCGAAAGGAGCACUCUAAUGAGGCGACAAACCGGAGGAAGGUGGGGAUGACGUCAAGUCCCUCAUGGCCCUUAUGGGUGAGACUGCACGUCAUGCAAUGGUCAGACAGAGGGUCGCCAACCCGCGAGAGAGCAAUCCCGAAGCCCGAUCGCGAAGUCCGGAUCGCGAUCUGCAGCACUCUGACUGCGUGAAGUCAGAAUCGUAAUCGCGGAUCAACAUCGUCGCGGUGAAUACGUUCCGGGUCUUGUACCGCCCGUCACACCAUGGGAGUGGGUUUUACCAGAAGUAGUUAGCCUAACCGUAAGGAAUGCGAUUACCACGGUGAGAUUCAUGACUGGGGUGAAGUCGUAACAAGGUAA